GAAAUGCGAUAAGUAGUGUGAAUUGCAGAAUUCAGUGAAUCAUCGAAUCUUUGAACGCACAUUGCGCCCUUUGGUAUUCCAAAGGGCAUGCCUGUUCGAGCGUCAUUUGUACCCUCAAGCUUUGCUUGGUGUUGGGCGUCUUGUCUCUAGCUUUGCUGGAGACUCGCCUUAAAGUAAUUGGCAGCCGGCCUACUGGUUUCGGAGCGCAGCACAAGUCGCACUCUCUAUCAGCAAAGGUCUAGCAUCCAUUAAGCCUUUUUUUCAACUUUUGACCUCGGAUCAGGUAGGGAUACCCGCUGAACUUAAGC
rnacentral:misc_RNA from 1 species